GGGUCUUUUGCAGAUCCAGAUUUUGCUCCCGUGAUUAACAACAAAACUGACUCUACCACAAGGACCAAGAAGGACAAGGCCAUUAUGUAUGCAAGAGGGCCUGGUCCUUUCCUAGGUUUGCCUUGCAAGCUGUACCCCAUGGAUCACCCUUCAUCACCAGUCAUGGGCUAUGGGCCACCUCUAGCUCCUCCAAGUACUCAAUUUGGAGAAUUUGAAGUUUGAAGAGGACCCCGAACUGCGACAAAUGGGCUGUGGUCAUGUAAUAUAUUUAGAAAAGUUGUUGAUAUACGUAUUUGACUGAAUUCUUUCCCUGACCAAUCCUG